rnacentral:rRNA from 1 species
AGGAUGAACGCUGGCGGCGUGCCUAACACAUGCAAGUCGAACGUCCUGUCUCGCAAGAGGCAGGGAGUGGCGGACGGGUGAGUACCACGUGGGUCAUCUACCGUGAGGUGAGGAAUACCGGCGAGAAAUCGCCGACAAGACCGCAUAGGCUCGAUGCAAGUCGAGCAAAGCUCUUUCGAGAGAGGGAGCGCCACACGAGGAGCCUGCGCCCGAUUAGCUAGCUGGUGGAGUAACGGUUCACCAGGGCGACGAUCGGUAGCUGGUCUGAGAGGACGAUCAGCCACACUGGGAUUGAGAACGGCCCAGACUCCUACGGGGGGCAGGCAGUGAGGAAUUUCGUCAAUGGGGGCAACCCUGAACGAGCAACGCCGCGUGCAGGAGAAGGUUUUCGGAUCGUAAACUGCUUUUCUCGGGGAAGAGAAUGGACGGUACCCGAGGAAUCAGCCCCGGCUAACUACGUGCCAGCAGCCGC